ensembl:lncRNA PROX1-AS1 PROX1 antisense RNA 1
AGAUCUGGAGGUUCAGAAGUCUGACAUCAGAAUGUCUGGGCUGAAAUCAAGGCGUUGGCAAGGCGGUGCUCCCUCCAAGGCUCUAGGAGAGAAUCUUUUUCUUGCCUUUUCUGGUGUCUAGUGGCUGCCAGCAUUACCUGGCUUGUGGCCACAUCAGUCCAAUUUUCAAGCUGGAGGCAAAGGAUGCCAAGAUGGGAAAGCCACAUAAUGGAAGGAUCCUGGAUUUCAGAGCUGUCACUUGGAGGAGGGGCACCCAGUGAAGGUGUCUUAUCUAACCCACACCAUAUCUUCAUGAAGUGGCCAUAUGGAUUUGAUCCCUAUCCUUCAGAGGUGCUCAGCCUAAGGGAACACGGAUAGUAGAUUAAGCACUGACCAGCCUUUCUCUUUACUCAUUGGACUCAGAGCCAGCCUUGACAAUGUGCUGAUGGCAACCUAGAACAUAAGCAGAGGAGUAUACAGGACAAGAACUUGAUGGUCUCGGGAA